UCUUCGUUUCGGAGACCACCAUCCCCUUGGACUACUCCGAUCUACUGAACAAACUGUGCAUUGUUCUGCCUCCUACAAAUGCACUUGCUAGAUUACGGACUCCACGUCAAUACAGCCCCUGCUGCACCACUCAAGGCCUAGCAACAUGCUGAACUCGUUGCACACUUCAGCCUCCUACGGACGUAUCCUUCAUAUGCCGAAGAGAAAGUUUCAAUGCUCCAUGGCGCCGAGUUUCAAUCGCCUUGGGAUGGCCGCGAACAUUCCAUCGUCCGCAUACAAGCCCAUGCAUGAGUACCGAAUUCUUUGAGUUAGCAA
rnacentral:lncRNA from 1 species